CGGGAAGAAGCUCCAAAUUUAAAAUCUGGCAGUCUUUCUGGCUGUCCGAGUUGUAAUCUGGAGAAGCGUUUUCCGUGUUAGACCGUGCACAAGUCUCCUGGAACGGAGCGUCAUAGAGGGUGAGAAUCCCGUAUAUGGCACGGACCGCUAAUACUUUGUGAUACGCUCUCGAAGAGUCGAGUUGUUUGGGAAUGCAGCUCAAAAUGGGUGGUAAAUUCCAUCUAAAGCUAAAUACAGGCGAGAGACCGAUAGCGAACAAGUACCGUGAGGGAAAGAUGAAAAGCACUUUGGAAAGAGAGUUAAACAGUACGUGAAAUUGUUGAAAGGGAAACGCUUGAAGUCAGUCGCGUUGUACAGAACUCAGCCUUGCCCUCGCGGGCUUGGUGUACUUUCUGUUACAACGGGUCAACAUCAAUUUUGGACCAUGGAGAAAGGUGUAGGGAAUGUAGCGCUGUUUCGGCCGCGUGUUAUAGCCCUAUGCUGUAUACAUGGACUGGGAUUGAGGAAUGCAGCACGCCCUUGUGGCCGGGGGCUUGCCCCACGUACCGUGCUUCGGAUGUUGGCAGAAUGGCUUUAAGCGACCCGUCUUGAAACACGGACCAAGGAGUCUAACAUGCUUGCAAGUGUUCGGGUGGAAAACCCUUGCGCGGAAUGAAAGUGAAAGUUGGGAGCCUCCGCAAGGGGGUGCACCGACGCCCGGCCCUGACGUUCUCUGACGGUGCUGCGGUAGAGCAAGUAUGCUGGGACCCGAAAGAUGGUGAACUAUGCCUGAAUAGGGCGAAGCCAGAGGAAACUCUGGUGGAGGCUCGUAGCGAUUCUGACGUGCAAAUCGAUCGUCAAAUUUGGGUAUAGGGGGCGAAAG
rnacentral:rRNA from 1 species